AACGAACGCUGGCGGCAUGCCUAACACAUGCAAGUCGAACGAGACCUUCGGGUCUAGUGGCGCACGGGUGCGUAACGCGUGGGAACCUGCCCUUAGGUUCGGAAUAACUCCCCGAAAGGGGUGCUAAUACCGGAUAAUGUCUUCGGACCAAAGAUUUAUCGCCUUUGGAUGGGCCCGCGUUGGAUUAGCUAGUUGGUAGGGUAAAAGCCUACCAAGGCGACGAUCCAUAGCUGGUCUGAGAGGAGGAUCAGCCACACUGGGACUGAGACACGGCCCAGACUCCUACGGGAGGCAGCAGUGGGGAAUAUUGGACACUGGGGGAAAGCCUGAUACCGCAACGCCGGGUGAGUGAUGAAGGCCUUAGGGUUGUAAAGCUCUUUUACCCGGGAUGAUAAUGACAGUACCGGGAGAAUAAGCUCCGGCUAACUCCGUG
rnacentral:rRNA from 1 species